UUGCGGGGAAUGUUGUCUGGCUCGAGGACCCUUUUCCGUGAAAGAUCUAUAGUCAUAUAGAUCAAUCUUUUGUAUAUAUUGUUUUAGAUAAAUAGAUGAUCAUGACUUUUUGGUGGAGUUAGUGUCGUCGGACCAGGCUUCAUUCCCCCCAA
rnacentral:pre_miRNA from 1 species